UACAGAGGGUGCGAGCGUUGUCCGGAAUCACUGGGCGUAAAGGGCGCGUAGGCGGCCUGAUAAGUAGGGGGGUGAAAUCUUGCGGCUCAACCGCAAGGCUGCCUUCUAAACUGUCAGGCUGGAGCACGGUAGAGGCAGAUGGAAUUCCCGGUGUAGCGGUGGAAUGCGUAGAGAUCGGGAAGAACACCAGUGGCGAAGGCGGUCUG
rnacentral:rRNA from 1 species